rnacentral:lncRNA from 1 species
CCUGCAUUUAAUUUACUUUUAGCAUAGAAUGUAGCAUAUUAUUACCUUUAGAAUUUCUCAUUUCAGAUGAAAAAAAAGUCAAGCUUUUAGAGUAAUUGCAAAUUUUUUAAAGAGACCUCAGUGAAAGCAGAGAGGUGAGUUUCCAUGGCAAUCUCUGAACAACGCAAAGGGAAGGGAAGAAGAGGGGAGCAUUUAAUGAGCACUUACAUGAUGUUAAGCAGUGUGCUUGGCACUUUACGGAAAAUAUCUGUCUAAAACACGGGAAAAUGCUGUGAGGUCAUGGUUUUAGGGAAGAACAAGCGGACUCCAAGGUAGAGAGACUUACCUCAGUUAACCGUUUAGAAUGUGGCCCAAAUGGGGUCUGGCCCUCCUUUGCUGCACCGUUGAGUUUCCUGCGAUUGCACCUUCUUUCUGCUGCUCACGCUCUAUGCCCCAUGUUUCCCAGGCUUAUUCCUCUUUGUUCCCAGACUUCCUCAAGGCUUCCCCAGGGUUAAUAUACAAACCUCCCUCUCCAGCCCGAUCUCUCACCAGCACCUCAGGCCCCUAUUUCCUUCUGACAAUGAGAUAAAUAUCCUUAGAUAGAUUAUCUUUCCUACUCAGAGAGAGUCUUCCUUGUGGCAGAAAGCCUAUGAGAAAAGUUGAAAGAGUGAUGGCAGGGUGAAACCACCAUGCUACAACCAGCCUACUACGGACCAGCUGUGCAAGAAUCAUCAACGGAAGCCAAAUCUGGGGGGAAGUUUGACGAGGGGCAGAAUAUCUGCGUGGUCUCAAAGGCUCUCUGCACAGAUUGCUUGUUAGCUGAAAGGCGAAAAACAGUAACUGCACAAUGGAGAAAUGGGAUGAGACUUGGUGUGAUCAAAAUUGACCUUAGCAGAGAGGAGCGGAUGGACAUCACAUGCCCCUGGACGUGAUGCAUUGAGAAGGAAACCCCAUCACCUAUGAGUAACUUGAAUCUAAUCACAAGGAAACAUCAGACAAACCCACACUGAAGAACAGUCUACAGCCGGCCUCGAUUCUUUAAAAACGUCUGGGUAUGAAAGUGAGAAGGACUGAGGAACCUUCUAGAUUAAAGGAGAGUAAACAGACAUGGCCACUAAAUGGAGCAGAUCCUGUACUGGACAUGUAAGUGCUUAAAGGACACUAUUGGGACAAUUGACAAACAUGGGAUAUUGGAAGGUAAAUUAGAUGUAAGUAUUGGAACAAUGUUAAGUUUCCUAAAUGUAACAAGAUUGUGGUUAUUUAAGAGAAUAUUCUUAUUGUUAGGAGUUACACACUGAAAUAUUAAGAAGUAAAAGGGCAGACUGUAUGUAACUUUCAAAUGAUUCAGAAAAACAAAUAAUCAUUUUAGAAUUUAUAAUUUACACACAGGUAAGUAUGUAUAUGCAGAUCUAUGUGUCUCUAUAAAUGUUUGUUUAUACAUAUAUAGAGAGAGAGAGAUGAUAAAACAAAUGUGGCAAAAUGGUAAAAAUUGGUGAAUCUGGUAAAAGUACAUCCAGAAGUUUUCCAGAGAAAGAGACUAUAUUUCCAGCAAUUAAAUGAGCUUUAGAAGUUUAAACAAAUUGAAGUUUCUAUUAAUAGCUAGCAAUUACUGUUUGCCCCUUGUUUGCUAUGGGUUCUCCUAGGCAGGUUAUCGGUAUUCUUUCUAAACUUUCUUAAGAGCUCUGGAUCUGGAAAUUAUGUCUUCAUUUUCAUGUUUAGAUAUGAGGAAAGUGAAACAGGCUACUCAAUGCAAGAUGUGGUGGAGUCCUGGAUUUGAAUUUGUUUUGGGUUCACUUCCUUUCACUGUGAUGUCAGGAGCCUUCAGGUACUCAUGGGCCAUAUGGAGAGCGGUGAAGGAAGAUAGACAAGCAACUAGAUACCGUAGUGUGGUGUUAAAUUCUUCCAACCAGUGUUUAUUGAACAUCUGCUAGGUUCCAUGAGUUACACUAAGCUCUCUGGGACCAGAGCUGUGGACAGCAGAGACCCGGGCCUUGCCUCCCAGAACUUCCACUGCAGGGGAUGUGAUGGACACUAGUGAGCAUAAGCGCUACGGAAGCACAAGGAGGGGCAUCUCAUCCAGACCAAGAGGGUAAGGCAGGCCUCUCAGAGGGGAGGUGACUGCUGCCAUCACGGAUUUUCAGAGAUGGGAGAACCUGUGAAAUCUUGCUUAUCCCUGUGUUCUAAAGACCUGGCACAUAGGCAUUUCCCUAACUAGUGAAUCUGGAAAAAGGACAUACAGGUGUUCUCUCUUGUGUAUAGCAUGUACUACUCCUAAUUGAUAGGAUGAGUGAGUGAAUGAAUGAAUGAAUGAGUGAGUCAGUGAAAGAGUGAACAAAUUUCCACCUGUAACUGCAAGGAACCCAGUGGGACGAGCUCUCCCAGGAGGUUAUUCUCUCUCUCAUCCUUCCAAGGUCACCAGAGUGAGUGGGUCAGCUCCAGCAAGUCUUUCCCUCUUUGAUUGGGCAGUGAGAAGGAUUUGGGGGCGGCAGCAUGGUGACUAACCAUAGCCAUGGGGGUUCCUGCUGCCCCUGCUUCUGUGUUCUGAUUUCAGAGGAGAUGAAACGCUUUAUUAAGAAAAGCCAUUUAGGUCUCUCUCUUUUCCUGAGUUGCUCAACCUUUUUCAGACCCCGAUAUUCACAGAGGAGAACAAAGCCGCCUUCCCGAAGCUGUACUUUGGGUUUUGUUCUUGCUGAAGCCAUGAGAAGCCAGCAGCCCGCGUGCCUCUGUAGAACCAUGCAUUGACCUGAUGAGGUUUGGAGUACAGGUGGCAAAUGUUGUAAUUCCUGCUCUGCAGUGGAGAUGACUGAACUCAGAGAAAUGAAAUGAACUGACCCAGAUCUCACAAAUGACUAAGUAUCACUUUAAACCAUUGGUUCUCUGGGCUAGCCCGGUGGCUAAGUGAUUAAGUUCACGAACUCUGCUUAGGUGGCCUAAGUUUUGCUGGUUCGGAUCCUGGGCAUGGACAUGGCACCGCUCAUCAGGCCAUGCUGAGGUGGCAUCCCACAUGACACAACCAGAGGCACUCACAACUAGAAUAUGCAACUAUGUGCUGGGGGUGCUUUGGGGAGAAGAAUAAGAAGAAAAAAGAAGAUUGGCAACUGAUGUUAGCUUAGGCACCAAUCUUUAAAAAAAAAAAAAACACACUGGUUCUUGAUCAAGGAUAAUUUUGCCUCCAGAGGACGGUUGGCAAUGUUUGGAGACUGGAGAUUGUCACAAUGGGUUCCUAUAGGUUCAAUGGAGAUCAAGAUCCAAGCUUGGCCUACUUUCCACACGACUGAGGUAGAGACAACUCAGGGUACGAUAUAUUGAAUGUUGAAAUAUUCCUCUUCCGGCCCCAGCAAAGUUUGGAAAAGAGAUCAGUGGCAGAAACAGACUGAGAAAAUAAGAUGGUGUGGUCCACAUUCCUCCCCAGUUUGGGGUUUGGCCCGGGCAAGAGUGAGGGCUUUAAAAACAUUCAAAAAGGUUUGGGGGAACUCAAAACAUAAGGAAGAAACUGAUGACAUGAUUCUCCAAGCAGAGCUUCAGAAAGCUGUCAGCCCACAGGAGAAAUACUUCAUGUGGCCACAUUCAGCACGGACAGAAGUGAGGUUGAACUAUUGGUAGAGGGAGAAAGCAGGACUGUGGGCCUGAGAAAGCAUCACUGACUCUCCAAGGCCUGGGAGAAAGUUAUAGGGGUCUAGAAUUUCACCACUGGUAUAAGGAGGGGAUGGAAUAUUACUGAGAGUGCUGAUGGCUUACCAGAGUCAUGACUUGAAAGAGGACACAGUGUGUGAGAACUCUGGUCCCUCAGUAGAAAAGCCAGGACCUUGAACUCCAGUCAUGGCAGUCCAGAUGCUGACCCCAGGGCAGUCUUCGGUUCAGAGUGCAUACCAGACUAGUCAUUGGCUAAUACCAGUGCAGACUCAGAUGACUCUGCAUGGAUGUAUGAGCCCAUCUUCCACAUGAACCUUGACAUCAUCUUGAAGAAAAAUAGGAGUAUGAGGAAACUAAUUCAAAGACAGGACAUUCAACUCUAAGGAAAUGCAUUACCCCAAAAAUGUCACCGGAAUUAUUGGACAAGACUCAGUUUUCCGGAUUAAACUAAAUUUAGAUUCUCCUCCAUGACCCAGUGGAGUACACAUACUAAAUAAGAAAUAGAAACAGAACGAUACUUUUUGUUCUUUUUCUUCACAUUUUAGUGUACUGUGAAUACAGAUGACCCCACAACAGAAAAAAAUAAUUAGUUGAGUUGAUGUCAAUAUAGAAGGUUCCCUAAUUUGAGAUGAGCAGAAACGCAAAAUUUUUUGUUUCUCUAAAUGAAAGAGGAAAAUCAGGUUAAUAUCUGAUGGGAAAAGAGACUGUCCUUUGGAAGAAGGCCAAGCCCUCCUGAGCCUGUGGAUGCUUGAUCUUGUAUUUUGAGUCUACCUUUUCCUCCUCUUUAUCUUUGAGGUUGAUUCUCAUUGCCUGCCCCAAACUCUGUCUACUGGCCUGUUCAUUGUUGACUUGCCAGUUCCCUGACUAGGAAGGGCCUGACUCCAGUAAGAGCUGCCAAUUGUAGACCCAGGGCUUAUGAUUAGGGUUGCUAGAUAAAAUAUAGGAUGCACAGUUAUGCAUUUCAUUUGAAUUGCAUGUAAACAACAAAUAAUUUUUUGUAUAAGUGUAUCCGAAAUGUUCCCUACAAAUAUUGCAUGAAACAUGCUUUUACUAAAAUAAAAUAUUGUUCAUCUCAAAUUUAAAUGUAACUAGACAUUCUAUAUUUGUAUUUGUUAAUCUUGCAACCCUACUCUAAGCAAUGGCAAACCUAGAUCCCAUGCCAACUUGAAGGAGAAAUGGGUAGCCACAACACCAUUCAUCCACACUGUGCCCCAUAUAGACUGAGAGACAGGGCAGACCUCACUUUUAGUACUCACAGAUGUAAAAUGUAAAUGUAAAUAUAACCAUAAAUGUAAAUAUAUUAAAAACUGAGGUUUUGGGGGAAAAGUGACCUAGAAGGUUGAAAGAGGUUGAAGCUACCCUGGGUCUCAUCAUGGAAGGAAUAGUGCCUUCUCUUCACAUCAACAUUGUUAGACCUCACAAGGAUCUCAUGGGUAGGCAUCAUUAUGACCAUUUCACAAAUGGGAAGCUAAGAUUCAAGGAGCAUAGCAACAGUGAAUCAUAGUGAAAAGUGAACUACAUUUAUAGUCAGUAAGACCAAAAUUUGAAUUUCAGCUUUACCCGGCUGUUACUACCAGAAAUAUCUUAACAUUUUUGAGUCUCUGAUUGUCAUAUUUGAGAAAAAUAAUACACAGACCACUGAGCAGAGGGAGUAUUUCAUGUAUUGAUGUAUACAAAGUACCAAAUAGCACUUAGCAAGCUACUCAAGAAAUGAAAGCCACUGGCAUUAAUUUCUAUGAGGUAAGUUUUCCAUGAACCAUGAUGCCAUGACUGAAAUCAGGGACCUGGUACAUAGUAUAGUCAUGGACACAUGGAGUUACUUAAUAAAGAAGAUUUGAAUUAAUGUCUAGUACUCAGAUAAUUCCUUCACAUUAAGCAUUGAGCUCCUCUAUUGCCCUAUUUUCAAACACAAAUAGUAAUGAGAUACAGUAGUAAUAUCUUGAAUCAUGAACUCUUUUAAUGAAUUAAAUUUAUUGAAUCAACUUUCUCAUCAACAGUAGGCUCUGGCUCAGGGACAUGCCCUGGCUGUGCUAUAAAAGUCUUCUUGGGGAGUGGACCCAAGCUUUGGUCACCUCUGAGUAAAGAUGGGUGGAGAGAGUACUAGAAGAGGGGUUAUCAUCAAGAACAAAGGCAAAGACAUGGAAAAACCUGGAGCACAAAUGAGACUAGUGAAGAUCUGUGAGUCAUUAUAAGGAUAAUUUUGAUGCAAACCACUUUGGUGGCAGAUUAUCUUCCACAGUCCCCACUUCUUUAAGAAUUAAAACAACCGCCACAGUAUUUCCCAAUGAGGCAGACUCACUGUUCAUUUGCCAUCUGGAAUCUUAGUCUUGCAAAGGAGUAAAGUUAGUGAAAUAUAUAUUUGAAUGAAACUCAGCCUCCCUCUUUUACACUGCAAUGAACAGUCAGGAGUCCUGGGAGGUGAGAGGGGGGAGGGCUGAGUGUGAGGGCCAUGAGUUCACACCACAUCUCCCCUCUGUGCUGAGGAUUGUUGCCAUGACAGCCAUUCCCAACUCCAGACUGCCUUUGGAGUCCUGCUAGGUAGGUGGCUUACUCCUGAAGUGGUUUUUGCGUAUGUGGAAAAUCAAAGUUACUACUUGCUCUUUCUUUAAUGUCCAAUGUAAUUAUAACUAUAGUAAGUGAAAUUUCUCUAAACAUUUAAACUUGCAUAACUAAUAAAUUAAAAUGUAAGCUUUACUAAUCCUCUUAUACAUUUAAAAGUUAGUUACAAACCUUAGUCAAGCUCUCUACCUAUCUCAAUAAAAGCAUAAGCCUAAUGUGCCACAUUCCCUUAACUGCUUCAAACACCUUAAAAACAGACGUGAUAUUCACAAAUUAUCAUAUUGAUUAUAAAAUGUAUUGUUAUAUUUAUACUCAACCUGUGAGAAAGUUAGUGAUCC